UUUACUUGAAGUUAACCAACCAAAAAAUUUGUAUUUAUAAGUGUUGAUCAAGCAAGUUUUUAUUUACUAAAUGCAAAGUAGAAAAAAUAUGACUCGAAUUUUUACUUUUUUAGUCAUUUUUUCUCUACUUCUUGUGGUAACCAAAGGCCGUAAGUAAUUUUGGAUAUUGUCUACUUAUUUUUUAGGGUUAAAUAUGUUUUUAGUCAUACAUUUUGCUCUACAGUCAAGAAUAAUUCCUACAUUUUUAUAUGGUUAAAAAAAAACCUAUAGUUUUUUCUGUUAUUAAAAUUGGUCUCUAUCGUUAAUUUUUUUUAAUAGAAUGUAGAUGUGGCGCAACUGCCCAAUAACAUGAUGACAUGUGUCUUUUUCAAAAGAGUUAUUGUGCAUCUUUUCACGUCAACUCAUUUUUUAUUUGUAUUUGCAUUUCUCUAUAAACACUUAAAUCCGGAAAUGCAAAUACAAGUAAAAGAUGAUUUGACGUGAAAAGGUGCACAAUAACUCUUGUGGAAAAAGACACAUGUCAUCAUGUUAUUGAUUAAUUGCACCACAUCUGCAUUAUGUUAAAAAAAAUUAAUGGCAGGAACCAAUUUUGAUAACGAAAAAAAAUGUAGAAUUUUUUUUAAUUAUAAAAAAAUAUAAGAACUAAAAAUAUAUGACAAAAUGUAGGGACUAAAAAUAUAUUUAACCUUUUUUUUAUACAUAACAAUUCAUUACAUUUUGUAACAUUCUUUUAUUAUUAUUAUUUGACUUUACAGGUUGGAAGUGCCAAGGUGACGGUGAUUGUCCAAUAAAUAUAUGUGACCCUCCUAUGGUUGCGAAGUGCAUUGGAAAUAUAUGUGAUUGCGACUAUGCGAAAAAGUACAGAUUGAUAUAAAAGAAAAAAGAACAUGUACUUUUAUAUGAAAACAAUUACUAUAUGUUAAUAAUAAGUGUGUAAAAAAAAAAAGGCGUGUAAUUUAUUUGUGCGUCAUAAUUGGAGCACACUUUGAUUUAAGUUUCUCUUGCAUUUUUAUUUCUUUGACAAGUUCAAAAAUGUAUUAUUGUAUUACAUAAGUAUUUUCGUAAGUAUAUAAUUACCUUUAUUCGAUAAUAUGGAAUGUCGUCUAGCUAUGAACCUCGUUUAGGUGGUGUGUUGUGG
rnacentral:lncRNA from 1 species